GUGGUUGUCACAAGUCAGGAACCUGGUAUUCAGUGUGCCGUCUGUCAUUAUUUGUUGGUUUUUUUUCAUUAUUGUUUUAGAAUAAAUCAAACAGUUGGUUUUUUCUUUAGUUUUACAUCUUGUCAUGCUGGGUAGAGCCUGUUAUAGAUUUCUAUAUGGUUAGGAUUUUGCUUGUUGUUUAGGCCUGUUUGAUGCUGUCUCUGGUGGAUAGUUGUCUCAUUGGUAAUCAUACCGCA
rnacentral:lncRNA from 1 species